UUGAGUUUAAUGUUCCUUUUUAUGGCAUAAAAGGCCCUUCUUGCCUUGUCUCUUAGACCGUUCACUGCCUUGUGUUUGUUACCUGUGUUGUUCCUGUUUAGGCCGAGGUAUGUAUAGUUUGUGUGCUCCAGGGCAACGGUGUCUAGAUGGAAUUUGUAUUUGUCGUCCUUGGUUGGGGACAGAUCUAGGUGCUGCUGUAGGCCCUCCUUGGUUGGGGACAGAUCUAGGUGCUGCUGUAGGCCCUCCUUGGUUGGGGACAGAUCUAGGUGCUGCUGUAGGCCCUCCUUGGUUGGGGACAGAUCUAGGUGCUGCUGUAGGCCCUCCUUGGUUGGGGACAGAUCUAGGUGCUGCUGUAGGUCCUCCUUGGUUGGGGACAGAUCUUGGUGCUGCUGUAGGUCCUCCUUGGUUGGGGACAGAUCUUGGUGCUGCUGUAGGUCCCCCUUGGUUGGGGACAGAUCUAGGUGCUGCUGUAGGCCCUCCUUGGUUGGGGACAGAUCUAGGUGCUGCUGUAGGCCCUCCUUGGUUGGGGACAGAUCUAGGUGCUGCUGUAGGUCCUCCUUGGUUGGGGACAGAUCUAGGUGCUGC